CAAAAACGAUUCCUGCCUUGAGGAACUCAUGAGCUAAUGGGGGAGACAACGAGCAAACAAAUAUGUACAAAAAUAUAUGUACAUAGGACAAAUAGGAAAUAAUCAGCAGAGAAAAAGCACUGUAAUUAAGAGGAGACAGAACAAGGAACAAUACAUCAAAUUCAAAAGAAGCAGUUUUAUAAUAGAAGGAGGAGAAAAAGGCAGAAAGAGGUCACAGUGGAAAGAGCAAGGAGUCUGGAGCUGGUAA
rnacentral:lncRNA from 1 species